CCUACGGGAGGCAGCAGUGAGGAAUAUUGGUCAAUGGGUGCGAGCCUGAACCAGCCAAGUCGCGUGAGGGAUGACGACCCUACGGGUUGUAAACCUCUUUUGCCGGGGAGCAACGGGCGCCACGUGUGGCGCCACUGAGAGUACCCGGAGAAAAAGCAUCGGCUAACUCCGUGCCAGCAGCCGCGGUAAUACGGAGGAUGCGAGCGUUAUCCGGCUUUACUGGGUGUAAAGGGAGCGUAGACGGUUAUGUAAGUCUGGAGUGAAAGCCCGGGGCCCAACCCCGGGACUGCUUUGGAAACGGUGGAACUGGAGUACAGGAGGGGCAGGCGGAAUUCCUGGUGUAGCGGUGAAAUGCGUAGAUAUCAGGAGGAACACCGGCGGCGAAGGCGGCCUGCUGGACUGAAACUGACGUUGAGGCUCGAAAGCGUGGGGAGCAAACAGGAUUAGAUACCCCUGUAGUC
rnacentral:rRNA from 1 species